AGGGGAACUCAGGGAACUGAAACAUCUAAGUACCUGAAGGAAGAGAAAGAAAUUCGAUUCCGUAAGUAGCGGCGAGCGAACGCGGAUUAGCCCAAACCAAUAAAGUUUUCUUUAUUGGGGUUGCGGACAUAUCAUAACGAAGAGGUAUCGUAAUUGAAGAGGUUUGGAAAGACCCACCACAGAAGGUAAUAGUCCUGUAUGUUAAACGAGAAGACUUCAGAUAUGAUCCAGAGUACCACGGGACACGUGAAACCCUGUGGGAAGCAGGAGGGACCACCCUCCAAGGCUAAAUACUACCUAGUGACCGAUAGCGUAUAGUACCGUGAGGGAAAGGUGAAAAGAACCCCGGGAGGGGAGUGAAAUAGAACCUGAAACCCUGCACUUACAAGCUGUGGAAGCACAUUUCUUGUGUGACCGCGUACUUUUUGUAGAACGGGCCAACGAGUUACGUUAAGUAGCAAGGUUAAGCACUUAAGGUGUGGAGCCGUAGCGAAAGCGAGUUUUAACUGAGCGUUCAGUUACUUGACGUAGACCCGAAACCGGGCGACCUACCCAUGAGCAGGAUGAAGCGAAAGUAAAAUUUCGUGGAGGUCCGAACCCACGAGCGUUGAAAAGCUCGGGGAUGACUUGUGGGUAGCGGUGAAAUUCCAAUCGAGCCCGGAGAUAGCUGGUUCUCCCCGAAAUAGCUUUAGGGCUAGCCUCAAGGUGAGAGAUACGGAGGUAGAGCACUGAAUGUCCUAGGGGGUAUUGCACCUACCGAAGACUAUCAAACUCCGAAUGCCGUCAUCUUAUACUUGGGAGUCAGACUGUGGGUGAUAAGAUUCAUAGUCGAAAGGGCAACAGCCCAGAUCGUCAGCUAAGGUCCCUAAAUGUAAGUUAAGUGGUAAAGGAUGUGGGAUUGCACAGACAACCAGGAUGUUGGCUUAGAAGCAGCCACUCAUUCAAAGAGUGCGUAAUAGCUCACUGGUCGAGUGAUCCUGCGCCGAAGAUUUCCGGGGCUAAAACUUACUACCGAAGCUACGGCAUCAGUAAUGAUGGGUAGGGGAGCUUCCCAUACGGGUUGAAGCAUGACCGUAAGGACAUGUGGACAGUAUGGGAGUGAGAAUGUUGGCAUGAGUAGCGAGAUGUGGGUGAGAAUCCCACAGGCCGUAAACCCAAGGUUUCCAGGGGAAGGUUCGUCCGCCCUGGGUUAGUCGGGACCUAAGCUGAGGCCGAAAGGCGUAGGUGAUGGACAACAGGUUGAUAUUCCUGUACUACCGAUAACCGUUUGAGAGAAGGGAUGACACAGUAGGAUAAGCUAAGCACACUGUUGGUUAUGUGUGCCCAAGCAUUGAGGCAGUCAAAGUAGGCAAAUCCGCUUUGAUAAUGCUGGGAUGUGAUGGGGAGCGAAAUUUAGUAGCGAAGUAGCUGAUUUCACACUGUCAAGAAAAGUCUCUAUCGAGGUUAAAGGUACCCGUACCGCAAACCGACACAGGUGGGUGAGGAGAGUAUCCUAAGGCCAGCGAGAGAACUGUUGUUAAGGAACUCGGCAAAAUGACCCCGUAACUUAGGGAUAAGGGGUGCCACCAUCAGGUGGCCGCAGAGAAUAGGCCCAAGCGACUGUUUACCAAAAACAUAGGUUUCUGCUAAGUCGCAAGACGAUGUAUAGGAGCUGACGCCUGCCCGGUGCUGGAAGGUUAAGGGGAUCUGUUAGAGCAAUCGAAGCAGUGAACUUAAGCCCCAGUAAACGGCGGCCGUAACUAUAACGGUCCUAAGGUAGCGAAAUUCCUUGUCGGGUAAGUUCCGACCCGCACGAAAGGCGUAACGAUUUGGGCACUGUCUCAACAACAGACUCGGUGAAAUUGUAAUUCCGGUGAAGAUGCCGGAUACCUGCGACAGGACGGAAAGACCCCAUGGAGCUUUACUGUAGCUUGACAUUGGGUCUUGGUACUACAUGUACAGGAUAGGUGGGAGGCUUUGAAACCAGGACGCCAGUUUUGGCGGAGCCAUCCUUGGGAUACCACCCUUGUAGUACUGGGACUCUAACCAUAGGCCAUGAAUCUGGUCUUGGGACACUGUCAGGUGGGCAGUUUGACUGGGGCGGUCGCCUCCCAAAAGGUAACGGAGGCGCUCAAAGGUUCUCUCAGUACGGUCGGAAAUCGUACGUAGAGUGUAAAGGCAAAAGAGAGCUUGAUUGCAAGACAUACAGGUCGAGCAAGGAUGAAAAUCGGACUUAGUGAUCCGGUGGUUCUGCGUGGAAGGGCCAUCGCUCAACGGAUAAAAGCUACCCUGGGGAUAACAGGCUUAUCUCCCCCAAGAGUCCACAUCGACGGGGAGGUUUGGCACCUCGAUGUCGGCUCAUCACAUCCUGGGGCUGUAGUAGGUCCCAAGGGUUGGGCUGUUCGCCCAUUAAAGUGGUACGCGAGCUGGGUUCAGAACGUCGUGAGACAGUUCGGUCCCUAUCCGUCGCAGGCGUAGGAAAUUUGAGAAGACCUGUCCUUAGUACGAGAGGACCGGGAUGGACGUACCUCUGGUGUACCAGUUGUUCUGCCAAGGGCAUGGCUGGGUAGCUAUGUACGGAAUGGAUAAGCGCUGAAAGCAUCUAAGCGCGAAGCCAACUUCAAGAUAAGAUUUCCCACCGCAAGGGUAAGACCCCAGAAAGACUAUCUGGUUGAUAGGUCGAAGGUGUAAGUGCAGCAAUGUAUUUAGCUUAUCGAUACUAAUAGGUCGAGGACUUGACCAA
rnacentral:rRNA from 1 species